UAGCGUCAUGUUGGUGCUCAAAAAGUUUUGAAUUUUGGAGCAUUUCAGAUUUCAAAUUUUUGGAUUAGGGAUGCUA
rnacentral:pre_miRNA from 1 species